GAGCCUCAGGCUCAGAGCAGCAAGACCAAGCGAUUAUGGACUGAAACUCUCAAAAUCGAAUCAAACUCAAGGCAAGCCUGACAGCAAGUGCUGGUACAUUGAGUCAUCUCACUGGUCCUAAGCCACAUUUUAUGGUGUCCGCCAAAAUAGAGGGCCAAGGACCAGCCUGCCCCAUGUGUCUCCGGCUGCACUGUGGCCUUGCUGCUGGAACAGUGGGGCACAUGAAAUGGGAUCUGCCCAGACUGGCUUCAUCUACUGCCACCAUUUUACUUCUAAAAUUUUUAUUGGUUAGAAGCUGAGAAGAUGGUUCAGCAGUUAAGAGCACUGGCUUCUCUUCCAGAGGACCGCGGUUCAAUUUCCAGCACUCACAUGGCAGUUCAUAGUGUCUAGAACUUCAGUUCCAAGGGAUCCAACUCCCUCUUCUGGCCUCCGCAUCACCAAGCACACAUGUAAUACACAGAUACCAGUCUCAAGGGAUCUGACAGUCUCUUCUGGUCUUCUUGGGCACUACACGAACAUGACACACAUAUACACAUACAGGCAUAGCACCCAUGUCUGGUCUCCUUGGGCAUUGCAUGCACAUGAUACAUAGAUAUACAUGCAAGCAAAACACUCAUGCCCAUAAAAAGCAAAUAAAUAAUAAGCAAUUUUUAAAAAAUAUUGUUUAAAUUGUGGUAAAGGUACAUGUAACAUGAGAUUUGCUAAUACAAUCAUUUUAAAUGUGUAGCUCAGUACCAAUAAGCAUAUUCUCAUUAUUGCAUAACCAUUCUCCUGAACUUCUCGUCUUAUAACCUGAAACUCUGUACCCAUUAAAUAUUGAUUCCCCAUUUCCACCACUCCUGAAGUCCCUGGAAACCCAAACCUACUGUUCUGUGUGGAUUUGCUUCACCUAUGUACCUCAUGUAAGUGAAUUCCACAAUAUUUGUCUGUCUGUCUCUGGCUUAUUUCACUUAGUAUAACAUUCUCUGUGUAUUUACACACUGUAGCCUGUGUCAGAGUUUUUUUUUUUUAAGCUGUGUAUUAUUCCACUGCACAUACAUAGCACAUUUUAUUUUAUUUGUUCACCUAUCUCUGGACAUUUGUGUGUCUUCUACCUUUUUUUUUGACACAGGGUAGAUCAGACUGACCUUGAAAUCAUAGCGAUCUACCUGUCUCUCCCUCCUGC